AGAAGCCCCUCUCCCUCGUUUCCCGCCCCCUCUCCCAGUGCAGCCUUGUGCUUCGGCUUAACCUAAGUGAGGCGAUCAUUAGGAAAGGCAUUGGAGAGAAGACAGGAGCAUUUCCCCGAGGUGUCCGCAGGGUGCCACAAUGGAUGUGGGAUGACUGGAUAAUCACAGCAUGUGGCCACAGGGGGCCUCUGUGACCAUUCAUCUUGGUGUGCAGAUGUCACAUUGCCACUUCGAGUGACUGGAUUAGAGCGUCUGUCUGUCUUGGCAUCCUGUCCUCAGAACCCAUGCUGGAAUCUUUUGAUGUGGCUGGUGGUAGGCAUUUUCACGUUACCUCACGUUAUCCUUGGUUGGACCCUCUCUCUCUCUGGAAAGCUGGAAACAGAUAAGGAAGCUGUGGCCCACAGAGAUUAUGUAACUUGUGAAGGUAACACAUCCUGAACAGAGCCUGGAUCUGAAUCUUCUGACCCCGGAGUUCAAGCUCUUUACAUCACAGCUUCCAAGGAGGAAAAGUCCCCUAACUGAUGAAAGUGGCUCACCCUGAACGAAGGAGUCAAAGCCACAUGAAGGCCAUCACCCAGCUGCAGGGACUCACCCAAGGAAGUGGAGGAGGAAACCAGCUCACCU